rnacentral:lncRNA from 10 species
GCAAAAUUAAAUAAAUACAUUUGCCAGCAUACUUAUGUUCAAAAGACUGUCUCCAUCUAUCCUACCAGAAACCCUGUUUCCACAUGAUUCACUGUGGAUACUCCUAAGUAACACCCUGGGAUAAGUAAGAGAAGAAUGAAGAGACUGGAUUCAUGGAAGAGCAAUAUGGGAAAAACAGUCUAUAAGGUCUAUCUUUACCUCCAGUCUCUUGAAAAAAUAAAGAGCUCAGCCGCGCGUGGUGGCUCACGCCUGCAAUCCCAGCACUUUGGGAGGCCGAGGUGGGCGGAUCACGAGGUCAGGAGAUUGAGACCAUCCUGGCUAACAUGGUGAAACCCCGUCUCUACUAAAAAAUACAAAAAAUUAGCCGGGUGUGGUAGCGGGCGCCUGUAGUCCCAGC